GACGAACGCUGGCGGCGUGCUUAACACAUGCAAGUCGAACGGAAAGGCCCUGCUUUUGUGGGGUGCUCGAGUGGCGAACGGGUGAGUAACACGUGAGUAACCUGCCCUUGACUUUGGGAUAACUUCAGGAAACUGGGGCUAAUACCGGAUAGGAGCUCCUGCUGCAUGGUGGGGGUUGGAAAGUUUCGGCGGUUGGGGAUGGACUCGCGGCUUAUCAGCUUGUUGGUGGGGUAGUGGCUUACCAAGGCUUUGACGGGUAGCCGGCCUGAGAGGGUGACCGGCCACAUUGGGACUGAGAUACGGCCCAGACUCCUACGGGAGGCAGCAGUGGGGAAUAUUGCACAAUGGGCGGAAGCCUGAUGCAGCAACGCCGCGUGCGGGAUGAAGGCCUUCGGGUUGUAAACUGCUUUCGCCUGUGACGAAGCGUGAGUGACGGUAAUGGGUAAAGAAGCACCGGCUAACUACGUG
rnacentral:rRNA from 1 species